rnacentral:rRNA from 1 species
UCGAACGGUGAAGCCAAGCUUGCUUGGUGGAUCAGUGGCGAACGGGUGAGUAACACGUGAGCAACCUGCCCUGGACUCUGGGAUAAGCGCUGGAAACGGCGUCUAAUACUGGAUAUGAGACGUGAUCGCAUGGUCGUGUUUGGAAAGAUUUUUCGGUCUGGGAUGGGCUCGCGGCCUAUCAGCUUGUUGGUGAGGUAAUGGCUCACCAAGGCGUCGACGGGUAGCCGGCCUGAGAGGGUGACCGGCCACACUGGGACUGAGACACGGCCCAGACUCCUACGGGAGGCAGCAGUGGGGAAUAUUGCACAAUGGGCGGAAGCCUGAUGCAGCAACGCCGCGUGAGGGAUGACGGCCUUCGGGUUGUAAACCUCUUUUAGCAGGGAAGAAGCGAAAGUGACGGUACCUGCAGAAAAAGCGCCGGCUAACUACGUGCCAGCAGCCGCGGUAAUACGUAGGGCGCAAGCGUUAUCCGGAAUUAUUGGGCGUAAAGAGCUCGUAGGCGGUUUGUCGCGUCUGCUGUGAAAUCCCGAGGCUCAACCUCGGGUCUGCAGUGGGUACGGGCAGACUAGAGUGCGGUAGGGGAGAUUGGAAUUCCUGGUGUAGCGGUGGAAUGCGCAGAUAUCAGGAGGAACACCGAUGGCGAAGGCAGAUCUCUGGGCCGUAACUGACGCUGAGGAGCGAAAGGGUGGGGAGCAAACAGGCUUAGAUACCCUGGUAGUCCACCCCGUAAACGUUGGGAACUAGUUGUGGGGACCAUUCCACGGUUUCCGUGACGCAGCUAACGCAUUAAGUUCCCCGCCUGGGGAGUACGGCCGCAAGGCUAAAACUCAAAGGAAUUGACGGGGACCCGCACAAGCGGCGGAGCAUGCGGAUUAAUUCGAUGCAACGCGAAGAACCUUACCAAGGCUUG